GUCGACGUCGUCUUCAAUGGCUUCGGUGAAGAUAAGCCCAAUUACUGCGACUCCAACAAAGAUCGUCGUUGUCACUGGUUGAAUGACGUUUUAGCUUGAUUUCAGAUUGUGGGUCAUUGAAGCCUGUAAAAGCAUCCAAAGAUGUUAAGCAUAGAGCUAAUUCUGUUUCAGAUCUACACUUUUAGGUCUAUGGUUCUAGUAAGUUUUCUAAGAUGAUUUCGGUUGUACAAUUUGGUUUAGAGCUUUAGCUAUCGUAAAUUUCCCUUCUUAUUGACAUCAGUUACUUUAAUUCUGCUAAUAUAUCUUGCCUUUGUGUUUUUUGUUA